rnacentral:lncRNA from 1 species
GUAAUUGUAAAGAUAAUACCUUAGUAGCAAGCUUCACUUCAAUAUAGUUGCAAGCCUCACGCAUGGCGAGCUGGCAAAACAUGUGAACUCAAUUGCUCAGAACGUUGUCAGCAUAAGUUCGAAAUCUGACACAGAACGUGAGUUUUGCAAUGUUGCCUAUUCACAUUCAAAACUUCUACAAAUAGAGUGCCAAAGAGGGCUCUAGAAUUUCAUGUAGGCAUUUUCCAUCGAUGGUUUUCAUAAUGCAACCAUAGCGUCCAUAUCAUAUUUGGAAUGCAACGUCUGGUUCACUAGAGCCUUCAUCGCGUAGCCCAGCUGCUCUACCUCUAUUUUUAUCACCUCAUCUGUUGCCUAACCAAUUCCUGGUGGAGACCUGUUCACGAAUACAUAUCAACUCCUGUUACCCACUGAAACAAACAAUCCUAUCAAGCCAUGAAACAAACUGAUCGGUGGAACCCAAGUCUGACAAACUCCAGACAAAUCGAGUCGUUGCAGAAACAGCAACCUGCUUCAACCACGACGUUCAUAGAUAAUGCUCUACGAAGACACCAUCAAGGUAAUCCACUGAAAAUUAACUAAUCCAAAAUAACAAACAGGCACAACUUGAAUUUCAGUCGAAUAGUACUAAGUCUUUAAAUAGGAUACAAUCAAGCUAUUCAGUUUCGGAAGUGGGCAAACCCUCCGCGACAACAUCAAAUGAUCUCAACAAUGCAGAAAAUUUGGAUAAAAACAAUACGAACAGUGCAACAACCUUGAAUAAUGCCAUGUACAAAAACCGUUAUUGAAAAAGAAAUAAAUCAAUCGUGAUCGUUUUUCGAAGUGAAUCAAAGGUGCUGUUAAAGCCCUGAAAAACUGUCUACUUUCGGUACACUUUUAAUCAAAACGAUGAGACGCAGCCAAUCAGAGAGAGUUUAUACCGUUGGUUCAUCUACCCAUAGGUGUUUCAUAUGAGAGAUGCUAGUGCUUUAUAAUGUUCUCAGACUUGCAAUAAAAUACAACUUAUACAUUUAGACGUAAUAAAAUGUAAACUGAAUAAUAUAUGAAAGUAAACAAGAUUAGGAUAUGUGAGAAAUCAUAAAAUUAAAACAAAUAAGAAUAAUAAUUAUAAUAAUCAUGGUUGUAACACACCAACAAGUGCAUCAAGCAGAAGAAAAUUGGUCGCUACACAAUUGCUAGAACCACAUCCAGCCAUAUGCUGCCCUCGUCACACAAAUCUCAGACUUUACAAAGCACUGAUAUUAUUGAGUUCAGUCUCGAGUCAUGUAACUCCAUGAUCCAAUUCUAUCCAAGAAAAUCGCGAAGAAACACCACUGCAGUGACGCAUAGCAUGACCCCAUAACACUAUCUAAUUAUUUCAUUUCAGAACUUAAAACCUCGAAAGCCUCUCUAACACGGAGAUGCCUCUACGAGUGCAUGAGUCGUACGCACUGACAUCAAAAGAAAGUCCAAAAGACACACAAAUCACAACACACCCGGAACUGGGAGGACCGAUCCGACGAGACCCAUCAAAUAAUCCAACACCUUCCCAAUCCUCUACACCGUUGUAGGGUUGAAAAUCACACAUGGAUGAAGAGCCUCCUCAAUGUUUCCGCAUUUCUGCACAUUAAAAACUGGAGGGUGCAACAUCAUCGCUUCGCUAGAAUCGUGACUAACAGCAAAAACCACAAGAGACAAUACUUGCUACCAACACUGUAGUCAUCCUAACGACACAUAGCUACUUCUAUGACUAAAGUAAGCCAAAAGCACCACAGAGAUUAGAACCACGGCCAUCGUUUACUAAGUCGUCCACAUCUUCUUACAAAGUGGUAACGGAUACAAGUUGUUCAUCAUUCCUCUCAGCCAUUCAAAAACAACCACAAUGUAUUUUCAAAUGUAGGUCGCAUGGUCUGUCCCAGAGGGUCAUAGCAGCGACGCAGCUCCCCAGGGCAAUGGAAUAUGCCACCUUACUAUAACGGAGUACGCUCUGCAUCAACGAAGAUGAAAACCUACAUCGCGUGGUAAGAUGUUUCUCUGACGUUCACAAAGGGCUCUACGACCACAAACGCAUCAAGUAGAUGCAAAUGGUCGCUCCAUAAUUGUUAGGCCAACACCGCGCCAAGAGUGCUGGCCCCGUCAUCCAGGGCACACAUGCCAUGUAAACCUGCUCAGCUUCAGGAUUCAAGCACAGAACGCCCAACUCUCCUUAAUCUAUUCAAUCCUAACGCAAAACGACAGAAAGAGGCCGAGGCCGGGAUAGAUACCCCAAAUCCUAAAACCUAAAGCCAACUACACCAGUGUAGAGGUCAGAACCACAACCGUGUUUACAACUUCGUCCACACGUCUUCUUUCAGAGUGGUAACGGAUAUGUAUUGAUUAUUAUUUCUCUUGCAUUUGAGUUAUCUACAGUAUGAGUUUAACUGUAGGUCGCAUGGUCUGUCCCAAAGGGUUACGGCAGCAAUACUGCUCCCCAGGGCAACGGAAUAUGCCACCUCACUAUCAUGGAGUACAUCUUGCAUCAACAGUGAUGCAGACCUACGUCACAAAACAGCAUCUGUCUUCGACGUUAACAAAGGACUCUACGACCAGAAGCGCAUCAAGCCGAUUCAAAUGGUCGCCCCAUGGUUGUUAAGACAACACCCCGCCAAGAGUGCUACCCCCGUCACCAAGCUUCAACCUACAAGCUAUCAAUCAGACCAGGUUUUCAUCACAGACGAGAUCAGAACCACAGCCAUGGUUUACAACUUCGUCCACACAUCUUCUAUCAGAGUGGUGACGGAUAUGUUUCUCGUCAUUUCUCUCAGCCAUUCAAGACAACUACGUAUGCGUUCACAUGGAGGUCGCAUGGUCUGUCCCAGCGGGUUACGGCAGCGAUGCUGCUCCCGAGGGCAAUGGAAUAUGCCACCUCACUAUCAUGGAGCAACCAACCUCACACAACAGCGUCUGUCUUCGACGUUAACAAGGGACUCUACGACCAGAAGCACAUCAUGUAGAUGUAAAUGGUCGCUCCGUAAUUGUUAGGUCAACACCCCGCCAAGAGUGCUUACCGCGUCGUCUAACUUCCACCGUGAGAUGGUUCCAAUCGAGACCAGAAAAAUCAAGGCGCAUCCUCUGGUGAAUACAUCAAGAUAUCAGCCGGCACUAGCAACUUUAUCUCACCGAAUAACCUAAACUCUGGACCAACUCGAAACACAGACUCCGUACCAUAAGUGAGCCGAUAACCAAAGGCCAGGUACGAGAGCAGUCAUGCAAAGAGGAACGAACGCGUCUAGUCAGCUUAUUACUCAAUCUGACGACAAUCAGGCCCUCUUCCAGACUCCACCACAAGAUGAACACUGGAACCCCCACUCUUGAAACAACGUGUCAUGUUCCACGCAACAUGCCAACAAAAAACUCCAUAUACAUUCAAGUCGAUCAUCUGAAAUACGUAGACACUUCCACCACAUUAACGGCCAAAGUUAGGGCUCGUUCAACCAAAUUGUACUACAUCUCAACUAUUAAACUGUUAAACUCGGAUGUGCCGCGCGCACUGAAUUGCAUGAAGCUCUGGCAUGCAUCAAGAGACAGAGAAAGACAGAGAGAGUGGGGAAAAGGAACUGCUGUCCUGGUUCCUGAUG